CCUACGGGUGGCAGCAGUGAGGAAUAUUGGUCAAUGGACGCAAGACUGAACCAGCCAUGCCGCGUGCAGGAAGACGGCUCUAUGAGUUGUAAACUGCUUUUGUACGAGGGUAAAUUGCGAUACGUGUAUCGGUUUGAAAGUAUCGUACGAAUAAGGAUCGGCUAACUCCGUGCCAGCAGCCGCGGUAAUACGGAGGGUUCGAGCGUUAUCCGGAUUUAUUGGGUUUAAAGGGUGCGUAGGCGGCAUGAUAAGUUAGAGGUGAAAUGCCGGGGCUCAACCACGGCACUGCGGCUGAUACUGGCGGGCUAGAGUGCAGUGGAGGUAUGCGGAAUGUGUGGUGUAGCGGUGAAAUGCAUAGAGAUCACACAGAACACCGAUUGCGAAGGCAGCUUACGACACUACGACUGACGUUGAGGCUCGAAAGCGCGGGGAGCAAACAGGAUUAGAUACCCGAGUAGUC
rnacentral:rRNA from 1 species